CCUACGGGUGGCAGCAGUGAGGAAUAUUGGUCAAUGGGCGAGAGCCUGAACCAGCCAAGUCGCGUGAGGGAGUACUGCCCUAUGGGUUGUAAACCUCUUUUGUCGGGGAGCAAAAGCCGGACGUGUCCGGCUGUGAGAGUACCCGAAGAAAAAGCAUCGGCUAACUCCGUGCCAGCAGCCGCGGUAAUACGGAGGAUGCGAGCGUUAUCCGGAUUUAUUGGGUUUAAAGGGUGCGCAGGCGGAUUGUUAAGUCAGCGGUAAAAUCGUGGGGCUCAACCCCAUCCAGCCGUUGAAACUGGGGAUCUAGAGUGUGCGAGAGGUAUGCGGAAUGCGUGGUGUAGCGGUGAAAUGCAUAGAUAUCACGCAGAACCCCGAUUGCGAAGGCAGCAUACCGGUGAACAACUGACGCUCAGGCACGAAAGCGUGGGUAUCGAACAGGAUUAGAUACCCCAGUAGUC
rnacentral:rRNA from 1 species